CCAAUAGCGUAUAUUAAAGUUGUUGCAGUUAAAAAGCUCGUAGUUGAAUUUCGGGGUUAGUAGGUUGGUCAUGCCUCAGGUAUGUACUGAUCUUACUGAUUCCUCCUUCCUGAUGAACCGUAAUGCCAUUAAUUUGGUGUUGCGGGGAAACUGGACUGUUACUUUGAAAAAAUUAGAGUGUUUAAAGCAGGCUAACGCUUGAAUACAUUAGCAUGGAAUAAUGAAAUAGGACGUUCGAUCCUAUUUUGUUGGUUUCUAGGAUUGACGUAAUGAUUAAUAGGGAUAGUUGGGGGCAUUAGUAUUCAAUUGUCAGAGGUGAAAUUCUUGGAUUUAUUGAAGACUAACUACUGCGAAAGCAUUUGCCAAGGAUGUUUUCAUUAAUCAAGAACGAAAGUUAGGGGAUCGAAGACGAUCAGAUACCGUCGUAGUCUUAACCAUAAACUAUGCCGACUAGGGAUCGGAUGAUGUUAAUUUUUUAAUGACUCAUUCGGCGCCUUACG
rnacentral:rRNA from 1 species